CCAGCUCCAAUAGCGUAUAUUUAAGUUGUUGCAGUUAAAAAGCUCGUAGUUGGAUUUCGGGUGCGUCGACGCGGUCUGCCUCUGGUAUGUACUGCGCUCGGUGCACCUUUCUGCUGGGGACGGGCUCCUGGGCUUAACUGCUUGGGACCUGGAAUCAGCGAAGUGACCUUGAGCAAACAAGAGUGUUCAAAGCAAGCCGACGCUCUGAAUUUUUUAGCAUGGAAUCACACGAUAGGACUCUGGCCUAUCUUGUUGGUCUGUAGGACCGGAGUAAUGAUUAAGAGGGACAGUCGGGGGCAUUCGUAUUUCAUUGUCAGAGGUGAAAUUCUUGGAUUUAUGAAAGACGAACUUCUGCGAAAGCAUUUGCCAAGGAUGUUUUCA
rnacentral:rRNA from 1 species